rnacentral:rRNA from 1 species
GAUGAACGCUGGCGGCGUACCUAACACAUGCAAGUCGAACGGACAUUUUUUGGAAAGCUCUUCGGAACUGGAAUCUAAAUGUUAGUGGCGGACGGGUGAGUAACGCGUGAGCAAUCUGCCUUUCAGAGGGGGAUAACAGCCGGAAACGGCUGCUAAUACCGCAUAAUGCAUUGGAUUCGCAUGUUUCUGAUGCCAAAGAUUUUAUCGCUGAAAGAUGAGCUCGCGUCUGAUUAGCUAGUUGGCGGGGUAACGGCCCACCAAGGCGACGAUCAGUAGCCGGACUGAGAGGUUGAACGGCCACAUUGGGACUGAGACACGGCCCAGACUCCUACGGGAGGCAGCAGUGGGGAAUAUUGCGCAAUGGGGGCAACCCUGACGCAGCAACGCCGCGUGAUUGAUGAAGGUCUUCGGAUUGUAAAAAUCUUUAAUCAGGGACGAAGAAAAUGACGGUACCUGAAGAAUAAGCUCCGGCUAACUACGUGCCAGCAGCCGCGGUAAUACGUAGGGAGCAAGCGUUAUCCGGAUUUACUGGGUGUAAAGGGCGUGUAGGCGGGCUUGCAAGUUGGAAGUGAAAUCUCGGGGCUUAACCCCGAAACUGCUUUCAAAACUGCGAGUCUUGAGUGAUGGAGAGGCAGGCGGAAUUCCCAGUGUAGCGGUGAAAUGCGUAGAUAUUGGGAGGAACACCAGUGGCGAAGGCGGCCUGCUGGACAUUAACUGACGCUGAGGCGCGAAAGCGUGNGGAGCAAACAGG